rnacentral:rRNA from 1 species
UACGUAGGAUGCAAGCGUUGUCCGGAAUUAUUGGGCGUAAAGCGCGCGCAGGCGGUCCUUUAAGUCUGAUGUGAAGCCCACGGCUCAACCGUGGAGGGUCAUUGGAAACUGGGGGACUUGAGUGCAGAAGAGGAAAGCGGAAUUCCACGUGUAGCGGUGAAAUGCGUAGAGAUGUGGAGGAACACCAGUGCGAAGGCGGCUUCUGGUCUGUAACUGACGCUGAGGCGCGAAAGCGUGGGGAGCAAACAGG